rnacentral:rRNA from 1 species
CCUACGGGUGGCUGCAGUGAGGAAUAUUGGUCAAUGGGCGGGAGCCUGAACCAGCCAAGUAGCGUGCGGGAUGACGGCCCUACGGGUCGUAAACCGCUUUUGCACGGGGAUAACACCCUCCACGUGUGGAGGUCUGCAGGUACCGUGCGAAUAAGGACCGGCUAAUUCCGUGCCAGCAGCCGCGGUAAUACGGAGGGCCCGAGCGUUAUCCGGAUUUAUUGGGCUUAAAGGGAGCGUAGGCGGGAGCUCAAGUCAGCUGUAAAAUCGCGCGGCUCAACCGCGCCCCGCAGUUGAAACUGGGUGCCUUGAGUGCACGAAAGGUAGGCGGAAUGCGUGGUGUAGCGGUGAAAUGCAUAGAUAUCACGAAGAACCCCGAUUGCGAAGGCAGCCUGCCGGCGCGCGACUGACGCUGAUGCUCGAAGGCGUGGGUAUCGAACAGGAUUAGAUACCCCAGUAGUC